rnacentral:rRNA from 1 species
GAGCGGCGAACGGGUGAGUAACACGUGAGUAACCUGCCCUAGGCUUUGGGAUAACCCUCGGAAACGGGGGCUAAUACCGAAUAUGACCUGGCCUCGCAUGAGGUUGGGUGGAAAGUUUUUCGGCCUGGGAUGGACUCGCGGCCUAUCAGCUUGUUGGUGGGGUAAUGGCCUACCAAGGCGACGACGGGUAGCCGGCCUGAGAGGGCGACCGGCCACACUGGGACUGAGACACGGCCCAGACUCCUACGGGAGGCAGCAGUGGGGAAUAUUGCACAAUGGGCGGAAGCCUGAUGCAGCGACGCCGCGUGAGGGAUGACGGCCUUCGGGUUGUAAACCUCUUUCAGCAGGGACGAAGCGAGAGUGACGGUACCUGCAGAAGAAGCACCGGCCAACUACGUGCCAGCAGCCGCGGUAAGACGUAGGGUGCGAGCGUUGUCCGGAUUUAUUGGGCGUAAAGAGCUCGUAGGCGGCUUGUCGCGUCGACCGUGAAAACUUGGGGCUCAACCCCAAGCCUGCGGUCGAUACGGGCAGGCUAGAGUUCGGUAGGGGAGACUGGAAUUCCU